AUUGAACGCUGGCGGCAUGCUUUACACAUGCAAGUCGAACGGUAACAGGUUAAGCUGACGAGUGGCGAACGGGUGAGUAAUGCAUCGGAACGUGCCCGGUCGUGGGGGAUAACGCAGCGAGAGCUGCGCUAAUACCGCAUACGAUCUGAGGAUGAAAGCGGGGGACCGUAAGGCCUCGCGCGAUCGGAGCGGCCGAUGUCAGAUUAGGUAGUUGGUGGGGUAAAGGCUCACCAAGCCAACGAUCUGUAGCUGGUCUGAGAGGACGACCAGCCACACUGGGACUGAGACACGGCCCAGACUCCUACGGGAGGCAGCAGUGGGGAAUUUUGGACAAUGGGCGAAAGCCAGAUCCAGCAAUGCCGCGUGCAGGAAGAAGGCCUUCGGGUUGUAAACUGCUUUUGUACGGAGCGAAAAGGUCCUUUCUAAUACAGGGGGCUCAUGACGGUACCGUAAGAAUAAGCACCGGCUAACUACGUGCCAGCCGCCGCGGUAA
rnacentral:rRNA from 1 species